rnacentral:misc_RNA from 1 species
ACUGAGUGAGGGCUCACGCCCGACCUCCAACCCUUUGUGAACACAUCUUGUUGCUUCGGGGGCGACCCUGCCGGCACUUUGUCGCCGGGCGCCCCCGGAGGUCUUCAAACACUGCAUCAUUGCGUCGGAGUUUAAACAAAUUAAACA